GGGCCAUUAGCUCAGUUGGUUAGAGCUCCCGGCUCAUAACCGGUUGGUCCUGGGUUCGAGUCCCCGAUGGCCCACCA
rnacentral:tRNA from 2 species